rnacentral:sRNA from 1 species
GUGAGACUCUGUCUCACCAAAAAAAAAAAAAAAAAAAAGAAUAAAGCAUAGCCAAGAAGGUAAGUUUAGAUAGAUAGAUUUAUAAACUCUGAUGUCCUUUAAGUACUUGGUAACCUUUUGAUUCUCAUUUUUAAACCAUACAUUCGUUGCUUUAGACAAUAUACAACCGGUGCAAGCAUGCUGCUGCAAAUUCAAGCCCUCCUGAGAAUAGCAACAUUACAGGAUUGUACGCAACUGCUAACCCUGUUCCAAGCCAGCAUCCUUGUUUCAAGCCAUGGAGUUACAUUCCUGAUGGAAUCAUGCCAAUUUUCUGGAGGGUAGUGUAUUGGACGUCACAAUUUUUAACAUGGUAAGUUACAGUAAAUGAUAAAAUUUUUAAAAUUUUGGCUAAAGGAAUAAAAUGUUGUUUUUCAAUCAA